rnacentral:rRNA from 1 species
GAGAAUGCCGGUGUGAGUAGCGAAAGACGGGUGAGAAUCCCGUCCACCGAUUGACUAAGGUUUCCAGAGGAAGGCUCGUCCGCUCUGGGUUAGUCGGGUCCUAAGCUGAGGCCGACAGGCGUAGGCGAUGGAUAACAGGUUGAUAUUCCUGUACCACCUAUAAUCGUUUUAAUCGAUGGGGGGACGCAGUAGGAUAGGCGAAGCGUGCGAUUGGAUUGCACGUCUAAGCAGUAAGGCUGAGUAUUAGGCAAAUCCGGUACUCGUUAAGGCUGAGCUGUGAUGGGGAGAAGACAUUGUGUCUUCGAGUCGUUGAUUUCACACUGCCGAGAAAAGCCUCUAGAUAGAAAAUAGGUGCCCGUA